rnacentral:rRNA from 1 species
AUUGAACGCUGGCGGCAGGCUUAACACAUGCAAGUCGAGCGGGGAAGGUUGCUUCGGUAACUAACCUAGCGGCGGACGGGUGAGUAAUGCUUAGGAAUCUGCCUAUUAGUGGGGGACAACGUUCCGAAAGGAACGCUAAUACCGCAUACGCCCUACGGGGGAAAGCAGGGGAUCUUCGGACCUUGCGCUAAUAGAUGAGCCUAAGUCGGAUUAGCUAGUUGGUGGGUAAAGGCCUACCAAUGCGACAAUCUGUAGCGGGUCUGAGAGGAUGAUCGGCCCCACUGGAACUUAGACAGCACCCAGACUCCUACGGGAGGCAGAAGUGGGGAAUAUUGGCAAAUGGGCACAAGCCUGAACCAGCCAUGCCGAGUGUGUGAAGAAGGUCUUUUGUUUGUAAACAACUUUAAGCGAGGAGGAGGCUCCUUUAGUUAAUACCUAAAGAGAGUGGACGUUACUCGCAGAAUAACCACCGGCUAACUCUGUGCCAGCAGCCGCCGUAACAC